GACGAACGCUGGCGGCGUGCUUAACACAUGCAAGUCGAACGCUGAAGCUCAGCUUUUGUUGGGUGGAUGAGUGGCGAACGGGUGAGUAACACGUGAGUAACCUGCCCCCUUCUUUGGGAUAACGCCCGGAAACGGGUGCUAAUACUGGAUAUUCACUGGUCUUCGCAUGGGGGUUGGUGGAAAGGGUUUUUCUGGUGGGGGAUGGGCUUGCGGCCUAUCAGCUUGUUGGUGGGGUGAUGGCCUACCAAGGCUUUGACGGGUAGCCGGCCUGAGAGGGUGACCGGUCACAUUGGGACUGAGAUACGGCCCAGACUCCUACGGGAGGCAGCAGUGGGGAAUAUUGCACAAUGGGCGCAAGCCUGAUGCAGCGACGCCGCGUGAGGGAUGGAGGCCUUCGGGUUGUGAACCUCUUUCGCUCAUGGUCAAGCCGCAACAAUGGUUGUGGUGAGGGUAGUGGGUAAAGAAGCGCCGGCUAACUACGUG
rnacentral:rRNA from 1 species